CAAUAGCGUAUAUUUAAGUUGUUGCAGUUAAAAAGCUCGUAGUUGGAUUUCGGAUGGGAUUUGCCGGUCCGUCGUUACGAUGUGCACUGGCCAGUCCUAUCUUGUUGUCGGGGACUAGCUCCUUGGAUUCACUUCCUGGGACUAGGAGCUGACGAGGUUACUUUGAGUAAAUUAGAGUGUUCAAAGCAAGCCUACGCUCUGAAUACAUUAGCAUGGAAUAACACGAUAGGACUCUGGCUUAUCUUGUUGGUCUGUGAGACCAGAGUAAUGAUUAAGAGGGACAGUCGGGGACAUUCGUAUUUCAUUGUCAGAGGUGAAAUUCUUGGAUUUAUGAAAGACGAACUUCUGCAAAAGCAUUUGUCAAGGAUGUUUUCAUUAG
rnacentral:rRNA from 1 species